rnacentral:rRNA from 1 species
UGAGGAAUAUUGGGCAAUGCCCGCAAGGGUGACCCAGCAACGCCGCGUGGAGGAUGAAUGUCGUAAGAUUGUAAACUCCUGUUAGAGGGGAAGAAUAGUACCGGUUGGACCGGUAUAUGACUGUACCCUCAGAGAAAGCCCCGGCUAACUACGUGCCAGCAGCCGCGGUAAUACGUAGGGGGCAAGCGUUGUCCGGAUUUACUGGGUUUAAAGGGUGCGUAGGUGGGCUUAUAAGUCAGUGGUGAAAUCUCCGAGCUUAACUUGGAAACUGCCGUUGAUGCUAUAGGUCUUGAAUUAUCUGGAGGUAAGCGGAAUAUGUCAUGUAGCGGUGAAAUGCUUAGAUAUGACAUAGAACACCAAUUGCGAAGGCAGCUUACUACAUAUAAAUUGACGCUGAGGCACGAAAGCGUGGGGAUCAAACA